GAUGAACGCUGACAGAAUGCUUAACACAUGCAAGUCAACUGUGGCGGACGGGUGAGUAACGCGUAAAGAACUUGCCUCCCAGCUAGGGCCAACUUUUGGAAACGAAUACUAAUACCUGAUACUGUGAGAGAGCUUUGCGUCCCAGUAGCUAGUUGGAGAGGUAACGGCUCACCAAGGCGAUGAUGGGUAGCCGGCCUGAGAGGGUGAUCGGCCCCAAGGGGACUGGGACACGGCCCUUACGCCUACGGGAGGCAGCAGUGGGGAAUAGUGGACAAUGGACCAAAGUCUGAUCCAGCAAUUCUGUGUGCACGAUGAAGUUUUCGGAAUGUAAAGUGCUGUCAGUUGGGAAGCGGUACCAACAGAAGAAGUGACGGCUAAAUACGUGCCAGCAGCCGCGGUAAUAC
rnacentral:rRNA from 1 species